AGUUGAGUUCUUUAACUGUUGCCUGUCUGUGGGGUAAUAUACCAAGCCGUAGCCAGAGUAUGACAAUUUUAUGAAAUUCAGAGUAUUAACUUGAUCAAAGACUGAAGGAAUUUUGCUCAAAGACAAUCUCAGGAACAAGACAAAAUGGGCACAAAGAUGUGAGGCAACCUGGAGAUAGAAUGAUCCGUCUACCCUAAGUAGUAACUCAUAAGACCAUUCCAGAAGUGGAUGAAUCAUCAGAGGAUUUUAUC